rnacentral:rRNA from 1 species
AUGGAGCUCGCCACCGCGGCCGUCGUCUCCACAGCCUCCAUCCACCCCGGCCGCAGCCAUUUCUCAACCGCACGCGUAGCCUCCUGGUCUAGUUCCUCGUCGCCGUCCUCCUCUCGGUCCCUGUCCACCUCCGCCUCCACCUCGCGGUCCCAGAGGCGUCGACUCCCCGUCGCCUCGGCCGCCGUAGAGCUCCGCGAGGCCGCCGCAGGUGGUGGAGACUCCGUCCGCGUCAUCGAGACGCCGCAGCCCAACUCCAGUGUUAAGUUCAGCGUGGAGGUGCCUCCCUCGAUAUGCCAGGAGUGCUACCAAACAACUCUUCUCGAGUACUCAAAGCGUUUCAAGGUUCCUGGAUUUCGGCCUGGAAAGAUAGUUCCAGAAAAUGUACUUUUAAAUUACGUUGGACCACAACAUGUACGGGCUGCUACAGUUGAAGCUAUCUUAAGACAUACACUUCCUCAAGCACUGUCCUCGGUAGAAGAGAGGGCAUUAGAAGAUUCUGUGCGCAUUCUCACUAAGUUUGAUGAUAUGAACGAGGCUUUCUCCCUUGACCAUGUCUUUAGAUAUGAUGUUGCUGUGGAUGUUAUUCCUGAAGUCCGUUGGUUAUCUGAAGACAAAUAUAAGAACCUCAAAGUGGUUAUUGAAAUAGAUGAAAUUGUUGAUGCAGAAAAGGCAGCCGAGUUGGAGCUUAAGCGUCGUCGUAAAUCUCUAGGGCUGCUUCGAAUAGUACCUGACAGAGGCCUACAGGUAGGCGAUCUAGUGGUACUGGAUAUAUUGGCUGAAACUAUCACAACCGACGGCUCUAAAGGUGAAAAAAUUCCAUCAGCUGAGAGUACAGGGUUCCACUUGGACACUGAGGAAAAUAAUAAUCUUGUUCCUGGAUUUCUGGGUUCGCUAAUUGGGAUUCGUCCUGGUGAGACUAGAACUUUUCCUAUUCAGUUCCCUGAGUCAUUUGAGCAGGAAACUCUACAAGGUGUCCGUGCCCAGUUUACUGUUGUCUGUAAAGAACUUUUCUUCAGAGAGCUGCCAGAAUUGGAUGAUUCGCUUGCCGCAAAGCUCCUUCCAGGAUGCAAUACCAUCGAUGAGGUUAAGGAACGAAUUUUGGAAAGAUGCAAAGAAGUGGAGAAGACGGCUAUAGAACAAGCAACAGAUAAUGCAAUCCUCGACCAACUGGGAAAGUUGGUAGACGUUGAUGUUCCACGUUCCUUGUUUCAAGAACAAGGUCAACAGUUGUAUGGAGCGAAACUUCUCCAACUUCAGGCAGAAAGGAAGCUAGACAAAGACCAGCUAGCAUCCCUUUCAAGCGAAAAGUCUGUCCAGGAGUACCUGAAAAGUGAGAGGGAGAACAUUGCUAGGAUCAUUAAGCAAAUGUUGGUUGUUGGUGAAAUAUUCAAGGCUGAAAAUUUGCAGUACUCGACAGACCAACUCGUCAAGGAAGUUGAGAACUCUAUAGAAGAGUUCAAACGCUAUAAUCAAGACUACGACGAGGGGAACAUCAAGCAGCAGGUUCAGGAUGUUCUCGAGGCUGCCAAGGUGCUCGAGUGGCUCAAGGAGAACUGCACGAUCGAGUACAUCAAAAAAUGA